rnacentral:rRNA from 1 species
AGGAUGAACGCUGGCGGUCUGCUUAACACAUGCAAGUCGAACGGAGUAGCAAUACUUAGUGGCGGACGGGUGAGUAACGCGUGAGAAUCUACCUUCAGGACGGAGACAACAGUUGGAAACGACUGCUAACCCCCGAUGUACUGAAAAGGCAAAUAUUUAUAGCCUGAAGAAGAGCUCGCGUCCGAUUAGCUAGUUGGAGAGGUAAAAGCUCACCAAGGCGACGAUCGGUAGCUGGUCUGAGAGGACGAUCAGCCACACUGGGACUGAGACACGGCCCAGACUCCUACGGGAGGCAGCAGUGGGAAUUUUCCGCAAUGGGCGAAAGCCUGACGGAGCAAGACCGCGUGGGGGAAGAAGGCUCUUGGGUUGUAAACCCCUUUUCUCGUGGGAAGAACACAAUGACGGUACCAGAGGAAUCAGCAUCGGCUAACUCCGCGCCAGCAGCCGC